AUGUCGCCCUGCUCCGAUUCCACGGUCACCGUGUCGUACCGACAUGGUGAGCAUGCGGGCGAUGGCAUCACGGCCUCUUUGCUCCCCAAGGCUGAGGUGGUCGUGCCCAUGGAGGAGCUGCCGCCGGUGCUCACUUGCAAGCCGCCAGGUCGGCUUGCCACAGCGGUAAAGGAAGCCUGGUCCGUUUCUUUGUCCUUGGCAUUUCCCAUGCUGCCGUCGAUGUCGGCCGCCGCGGCUGGGGGGGAGGCGCGGUCCAUACUGGGCCUCGCGAUGCCCAUGAUUCUCACGGGGCUGCUGCUCUACCUCCGGUCCAUGAUUUCGAUGCUCUUCCUCGGCCGCCUCGGGGGGCUGGCACUCGCCGGCGGGUCACUCGCCAUCGGCUUCGCCAACAUCACCGGCUACUCCGUGCUAUCUGGCCUCGCCAUGGGUAUGGAGCCCAUCUGUGGGCAGGCCUUCGGCGCAGGCCAUUACGAGCUCCUCGGUGUCACCAUGCAGCGCACCGUGCUGCUGCUCGUCGCGGCCGCUGUUCCCAUCGGCGGGCUGUGGAUGCAUAUGCGACCUCUGCUUUUGCUCUGCGGCCAGGACGUCGGCAUCGCAGCGGUCGCUGAGACCUACAUUCUUGCCUCCUUGCCGGACCUCCUCCUCCAGGCGUUCCUCCACCCCGUCCGCAUCUACCUCCGGACGCAAUCCAUCAACCUGCCGCUCACCGUGUGCGCCGCGCUCGCCAUUGCACUCCACCUGCCCAUCAACUACGUGCUCGUCUCCGUCCUGGGACAUGGCAUCAGGGGGGUGGCAUUGGCAUCUGUGCUCGCCAAUCUAAACUUUCUCCUCCUCCUCCUUGGUUACGUAUUGUACAAGGGAGUGCACAAGCGCACCGGCGGCUUUGCGUUCUCGGCCGAGAGCUUCCGUGGCUGGGGAGAGCUCGUAAGCCUCGCCCUGCCGAGCUGCGUCAGCGUCUGCCUGGAGUGGUGGUGGUACGAGAUCAUGAUCCUCCUGUGCGGCCUGCUCGCCAACCCACAGGCCACUGUGGCCUCCAUGGGAAUCUUGAUCCAGACGACAUCACUCAUCUACAUCUUCCCUUCCUCGCUUGGCUUCGGCGUCUCCACUCGCGUCAGCAAUGAACUCGGCGCAAACCGUGCCGAGCGCGCGGGCCGUGCCGCCACGGUGGGUCUCAUGCUCGGGUUCGCGUUCGGCGGCGCGGCGUCGGCGUUCGCGUACCUGGUGCGGGGCUCGUGGGCUGCCAUGUUCACGGCGGACCCGGCGAUCAUCACGCUCACCGCGUCCGUGCUGCCGAUCCUGGGAGCAUGCGAGCUCGGCAACUGUCCGCAGACGGCGGGGUGCGGCGUGCUGCGGGGCAGCGCGCGGCCCAAGGACGCCGCUAGCAUCAACCUCCGGUCGUUCUACCUCGUCGGCACGCCGGUGGCGCUCGUCCUCGCGUUCUGGUACCACUAUGACUUCCAGGGCCUGUGGCUCGGCCUCCUCGCGGCGCAGGCCGCCUGCAUGGUGCGCAUGCUGCUGGCCAUCGGGCGGACGGAUUGGGCUGCGGAGGCCAAGCGCGCGCAGCAGCUCACCGGAGCAGGCGCGGUAACGGUGGCAGUGGACACAAAACCGAGCAGCGGCAAAGGCAUUCACAUCGUGAGAGUCGCGGCCGGCGGCGGCGAUGAGAACUCCGGGCUGCUUAUCGAUGUUGUCAUCGAGCAACCAAACGAUCAGUGCUGA
rnacentral:rRNA from 1 species